rnacentral:rRNA from 1 species
UACAGAGGGGGCAAGCGUUGUUCGGAAUUACUGGGCGUAAAGGGCGCGUAGGCGGCCUGCUAAGUCGAACGUGAAAUCCCCGGGCUCAACCCGGGAACUGCGUCCGAUACUGAAAGGCUUGAAUCCGGGAGAGGGAUGCGGAAUUCCAGGUGUAGCGGUGAAAUGCGUAGAUAUCUGGAGGAACACCGGUGGCGAAGGCGGCAUCCUGGACCGGCAUUGACGCUGAGGCGCGAAAGCCAGGGGAGCAAACGGG